AUACCUUUCUCGGCUUUUUGGCUAAGAUCAAAUGUAAUAUCUGUUAUUAUUAAUUUAAUAUCUGAUAUGUGGACUACAUGUCCACAACGAUACUAAAUUUAUUUUUCAUGGGGAAGGAUCCAUCAUAGUGGCUUGCCACUCGGGUCCUUGCGUGUUCCGGGCGUUGCACUAUAGCCCGGGUGUGGCGCACCCAAC
rnacentral:snRNA from 2 species